rnacentral:rRNA from 1 species
AUUGAACGCUGGCGGCAGGCCUAACACAUGCAAGUCGAACGGUAACAGGAAGCAGCUUGCUGCUUCGCUGACGAGUGGCGGACGGGUGAGUAAUGUCUGGGAAGCUGCCUGAUGGAGUGGGAUAACUACUGGAAACGGUAGCUAAUACCGCAUAAUGUCGCAAGACCAAAGAGGGGGACCUUCGGGCCUCCUGCCAUCGGAUGUGCCCAGAUGGGAUUAGCUUGUUGGUGGGGUAACGGCUCACCAAGGCGACGAUCCCUAGCUGGUCUGAGAGGAUGACCAGCCACACUGGAACUGAGACACGGUCCAGACUCCUACGGGAGGCAGCAGUGGGGAAUAUUGCACAAUGGGCGCAAGCCUGAUGCAGCCAUGCCGCGUGUAUGAAGAAGGCCUUCGGGUUGUAAAGUACUUUCAGCGGGGAGGAAGGGAGUAAAGUUAAUACCUUUGCUCAUUGACGUUACCCGCAGAAGAAGCACCGGCUAACUCCGUG